rnacentral:lncRNA from 1 species
GAAUCGGAAAUCAGAAGAUAUCGAAGAAGAUGUUGAUGAUGAAGCUGAUGGUUUCAUCAAGCAGAAGCAAAAGGGCUUUGAACUGUGCAAAUGGAAGACCUUCAAAUUUACAUAGGCCAGGGAGCAUGUGGGUUGUGCUUAGAUUACUGGGAAACUAUAUCCCAGCUGCAGUGUGAACCAACACAGAUAUUUAAAUAAAAUGCCCGUCUUAAUUUCUUGUGUUGGCAGAACUUCUUUCAGGGUUGUUUGGAUAUAGCAUGUCAAGAAAAUUUUAGUAUUUUAUCUUUUAAUAAGACAAUAUAGUGUGAUAUACUAUAGCUUUUCAUUGAUGGUAUUCUGCCACGAAAGAUUUUGCCUUGCUGCUUAUUUGUGAAUCCAGGGUUUCAUACAGUGCAAUCUUAUUACAGCGAUUAAGCAUUCAACAAAAUAAAUUGUCGAUUUGAUGAGUGUUACAGAAGCUAAACUUCGGAGCGAAUUGCAAAUGAUGCUUUGCCAGAUUAUAAUUUUACUAUAUCAAAUUCUGAAUCCAUCAAUAGGCAGCCAAAGCAAAAUCAUCAUGUCCUGUAAUGUCGGUGUCAUCUCUUCAUGUCUAAAAUAGAAUGUUUAUGUCUCAAGUUUUCAUCGCUCAACCAGUGCAUGGAUCAAGCUUGAUGUGGUUUAGACAACACUACACCAUUAACCAGUUUUACCGACGGACUAAUUCCGUCGGUGACAGCAAUGAAAUCCGUCGGUGAAAUAAUUACCGACGGCCUCACUGACGGAACACGUCCGUCGGUAUAACAGUCGUCGGUAACUCCCAUUUCCAUCGCUAAGUCUGUCGCAAAUAAAAAAAACACCCACCGACGGAACACCGACGGUCUUACAGACGGAUACGCGCGCGCCAAAAAAAAAGUUUCCAGCGGGAACAUUACCGACGGAAUAAAUCCGUCUGCAAUUUCAACGGUAAGUACCGACGGACUUACCGAUGUAUAUUCCGUCGGUAAUUAUGGCAUGGCUGGUAAUUGUUUGGCAACUCUCUGUGAAAUACCGACGGACAGUAUCCGUCGGUAAAUCCGUCUGUAUUUAAUCACCGACGGAUAAUUAUGGCAUGGCUGGUAAUUGUUUGGCAACUCUAUGUGAAAUACAUAUCCGUCGGUAUGUAUUUAAAAUAUAUAUAUAUAUAUAUAUAUAUAAUAAUUUAUUAAUAGUAAAAAACCUUAAUAAACAAAUAAAAAUGGAUUAAACAUUAAAAAUAUAAAAGUAAUGUUAAAUAAUAUUCAUUACAAAUUUAAUGUGUUUAAAAAACAAAAUUAAACUAGAAUAGCGGCGGAGCUGGAGGAGGAGGAGGAGGAGGAGGCUGGUUGUUCCCGGGACCAUACGGCCAAAAAGAAGCUGCACAAGUAUCGUCACCCAUCUUUGAUCUCAUCUCCAUGACUAUUUGACGGAGCUCAUCAUAAUUCGUCGAGAGUUGAUAUUGUUGUUUCAACGCAAUGAACUCCUCAGACUGGGUGUUCGAUACUGAUGGAGAGCUUCCAACAGUUGAGACACUACGAGCCGAACGCAAGUUUUCAGCCGUAGUGUUGGAGAGCCCGUAGACCCGAUUUUUAUCGGGUCCACCAGACGAUCCCGCCUCCAUCCACAAAUCUGGAUCGAAAUCUGGAUGGGUCGACGGAUUGUCCCCAUAUCUCUCCCUCAACCGGCUAUUAUAGGUCUCCUGAAAAUUCCGUCGGUAAAAAAAUCCUCAAAUGCAAUUCAAGAUGCAAUUCAAGAAAAUAAUAACUCACAAAAUAAAAUGAAUGAACGAACAUACCACGAAGUGCUGAGCACGGUUAUCCACGAACUGCUGCACCCCCUUUUGGCGGUCUUGACUUCGCACAUGCGUCUCUACAAACAGCUCCAUUGGACUCGGUUCACGUCCAAGAGACGCAGCCUGUAAGGAAAAAAUACGUUGAAAGUUAAAUAUAUUAUAAGGAACGACAAAUUAAUUAACGAUAUAUUUCAUUAAAAUUAAUCUUACCAUCCGCUUUGCAUGUGCGCUGAAUGGGACGGAUCCGCCAGUAUGCGUGGUCACCGAACCAUGAAUUUGCCGGUUCCGGUUGUCGGCGCCGGACUGUGAGCGCCGUGAGAACCGCUCUGAGGUCACGUGCUCAAUAUAUGCCGUCCAUAUUUCCCCCGAGAUGAAUGGCGGUUUGAAUUCCUGCCAAACCGCCACCUCAUUCCAUCAUUCAAGACCGUUAUCCCUCGCAUGUCUUUUUUAUUUUUUUUGGGUGUCAUACCAAAAAUCACGCAACCUACUUCCAUAGUAAUAAAUUAGAAUUUAAAACAUAAAAUUAUAAAACAAAAAUAAAUAUUAUUUUCGAUGAUACCUAGUUGCCGCGUGAUUCUCCCAUACCCUCCUCACAACAUUGUUGUCCGCCCUAUCCCACUCAAAUUUGUUCUGUGUAUAUAAAUAAUUCAUAUAAAAUAAAAAUAGUACAAGAUAUAAAAUUAUAAAAAUCAUUUAUUAAAAAUAAACUGGAAAUUAAAAAUUAACACCGACCUGAAAUCGCUUAAACAAUGCAUCGAUAUUAGGUUUCCACUCAGGAUGUCUGGAAACCUGGCUCCAUUGAAAUAAUGGAAUCUCCAUCGACGAUUUAAACGCCAAUGUUAUAGUCCUUGCAGCCUCAAUGUUUGUGAACCUGAAAUUAAAUAAAAGUAGUAAUAUUAAUUAGUUGUUCAUAAAUUAUGUUAUAAGUAUAUAAAAAAAACUAAAACCUAAACAAACUUACAUUGAGAGGUCAUCCUUCCAUUGUGCCUGGUACUUGCGGGUGAAUUGACCCCGCUGUGAAGGCACACCGCUUCUGUGCUGUGAAACCGCGCUAGAAGAGGCAGCAUCACAAGUUGGCGUAGAUUCCUCGCCGUGAUCAGCACCUAAGGAUACGUCCUCCUCGCUGCUAGAAGAACUAGCUGCAACCGUCUUCUGACGACGUGCUGUAGAUUUCAUUCUACGCAUCUGCACAAAUUUAUACGAAUAAUUACAUAAUUAACUUCGAUUAUUUUAAAAAAAUUCGACAGAGUCUCCCCUAUACUGGAGGGUCCCAAGUUAUUGACAAAAUCAUAUUACACUUCCAAUUUUAUUUCACAUCCCGAUCCAAUCAUCCUGGAUCUCAACCCAACUCAUCAUCAUCAACACAACAUUUUAUUCAAUAACAUCAUAUAAUGAUAUUCAAGUAAAAGAAUCAAUUUCAACUAUGAACAUUCAUUGUUAAAUUGGUACUUAGAGUUACAAAUAUUAGAUUAAAGUCAUACAUUCAAAUUUACGGAUUAAUAUUACAUUUCAAGUUUUAGGAGACAAGACUCUUAAUUUAUAAAUAAUUACAUGGUCAAAAGCAAAAGAUAACUAAAUCAAUAUCAUUCCUAACACGAUCGACCCUAGUGGACCUCAAAAUAGAAAUUAACGUGUACACAUAAAUAUAAAAAUGUAAUAACAAGCAAUAACAAUGACAUGGAAACAAUAAUAUACUAAAUUAAGAUAAACUAAUUAAAUGUAAUUCUAUAUAUAAAAAUUAAUAUUUUUAACAUAAAUUCAACAAUAACAAUUAUAGCAAUACAAACAAUAAUAUCCUAAAUUAAGAUAAACUAAUUAAAUGUAAUUCUAUAUAUAUAAAUUAACAUUUUUAACAUAAAUUCAACAAUAACAAUUAUAGCAAUACAAACAAUAAUAUCAUAAAAUUAAUAAAUAAAAUUAAAAAAACUAAAAAACACUUCACAAAACAACAUAAACACAAAACAAACAAUACACAAAACUAAAAAACACUAUAUCAAUUCAAAAUAAAUUUGGGAAUAAAAAAUGCUUACCUUAAUAGUGUGUUGAAUUUAAGAUUUUAUCUACAAACAAUACACAAAACAAAGAACACCAAAAAAAAUAAUCAUAAUUAAAAAAAAAAAAUACAAAGAUAAAGAAAAAAGAAUACAUACCUUUUAAAACUACCACCAAAACAAUAAAAUCCUUUCUAAAAGCUAAAUAUAAACGAGAGAAGAAGAGAAAUGGAGAAGAGGAAAAGAGAAACGGAAGCAGAGAAGAAAAUGAACCAAGAGGGGGGACGGGGGGGUUAUAUAUAGCAAUUUUUCCGACGGAAUUACCGACGGAAAUUAAUUGUUGUCGGUGGCAUUAAAUUCCGUCGGUAAUUUUGUCAGAAAUUAAUUGAAAUGCGCAAAAAAAAGUUCGAAAAUCCCGCCAAACUUUUCGAUCUGUCGGUAUUCGUGCAGACGGACACGUGUCACACAUGUGUGCGCUUCGGGAUGUGCGUAAAGCCGUCGGUGAUUCCGUCGGUAUUUGUGCAGACGGACACGUGUCAGACAUGCAUGCGCUUCGUGAUGUGCGUCAAUCCGUCGGUGAUUCCGUCGGUAUUGUACGUCGGUAACUUCGUCGGUAAACUUGUCGGUGAAUGUGGCACAAUCCCGUAAUUUUUUUGCAACUCUCUGUGAAAUACCGACGGGUUAUAUUCCGUCAGCAAAUCCAUCGGUCAUUGUGGCACAAUCCCGUAAUUUUUUUGCAUCUCUCUGUGAAAUACCGACGGGUUAUAGUCCGUCGGUGAAACCGUAAAUUUUUCUUAUUUUUUUUAUGUAACCCUGUCAAAAAAUCUUGAAUUGCAAUCUUACAGCACACACAACACAAUAACAAGGGCCGACCAUUAAAGAAGAAUAAAUAUUUCAUGUUUCAAAUUAUUACAUUAUAAAAUAAGGCUUUAUAACAUGUUUAGUUAGUCGGAAUUUUCAUCUUCGUCCUCUAUUGAAUUGUUAUCAUCAGCUUCAUCGCACUCUUCAAUUUCGUUAUCAUCUUCUUCAACAACAUUCUUUUUUCCACUAGUAGAGCUCAGAACAACAUUCAACUCCUCUGCGUCAACAUCAACAAGACUAUUAUUGAAAACACGAAAAUUCAAAUUUUCUUCUAAGUCAAUCGACGGAGCAACUCGGUAUGGUUCAACCAACUCACUAGCUUGAAAGACUUCAUCUAUCACACUUGUGUCUUCGUUCUCAUCCUGAACAACCUUGACACGACCCUUGGGUUUUGUUUUUAAAACGGAUAACCAAUCAACUCUUGAUCGGUCAUUUCUAAAGGAAGGGGUGUAUGUGUAAUAAACUUGUUGGCAUUGCUUUGCGAAAACAAAGACGUCGUUUACGUUGCGGUGUCUAGCUUUUGAGUUGAUUUCAACGAGACCAUAGUGAGGAUCUACUCUGAUUCCUCUGUCAGUUGUGUCAUACCAAUAGCAUUUGAAUAAAAACACUCUAUUUUGCUCGCUAUGAUAUUGCAGUUCGAUGACCUCUUCCAAUCUACCGUAGUAGUCAACUUCAAACUCACUAGAAGUCGAUCCCUUAAUACAAACACCAUUGUUGUAUGUCUUUCUUCCAUGCCCGUAUUCUUCAGUAUGAAAGACAUAUCCAUUGACAAAAUACCCAUUAUAGCACUUGACUUUUCUUUCAGGGCCCAGACAUAGUAAAGACAGUGAAAUAGCAGCACUACCUCCCAUUUGAUAAACUUAGCUUGUAAAUUAAAUAUAACAAUAAUCAAUAAACGAAUAUUAUGUAACAUUGACUACAAUUAAUUAAUUACAUUGCAAGAGAUAAUGAGUUUGUGAUAGGACUUACAUGUGUUCUAAACCAUGUGGCAAAUUGUUCAUCUUGUAAUUGAAAGAUCUGGGAUUCGGUCAGCUGUGAGUUAUUGGACAGUAAGUAUCGUCGAUGUUGCCUACAAGGUUGUUCCAAAUUAUAUGAGUGUAUGGUAUCACAAAACAUAAAUAGUACACUCUUGACAAAGUUUAAGUCGAACAUCUACUUACUUAAUAAAAGGUCUCAGCUCAUCACAGUUAAAUAGGACAUAAUUGUGUGCUUGUCUGAACUCUAUUUCAGACAAAUAUCUUCCCCUCACGACAUUUUUAGGUGUGGGUCGUCCAGGAUUGGAGAAUAUUGACAAGUUCCCACUUGAAUGCACUUCACCACCAUCAUCAUGCCGUGGAACACGGUUUAUCCUCGUUCUCAAAUGAGGUUCGAAAUAGUAUGAGAUAAAUGUUGAGAUCUCCUCAACAAUAUACGCCUCACAUAUUGACGCCUCAACAUGCGCCUUGUUCUUAACCUUUUUUUUAAGAUUGAACAAGUACCUGCAUAUAUAUAAAACAUUAUCAAUUAAAAACAUUAAAAUAAAAAGAAAAAAUUUAAUUAUAAAUGUCAUAGCAACUGUAAUAUUUAACCUCUCGAAUGGAUACAUCCAUCUGUACUGGAUCGGUCCUCCAACUUUUACCUCAAACGGUAAAUGUACGGAUAGAUGCUCCAUUGAGUCAAAAAAUGAUGGAGGGAAUAUCAUCUCAAGUUUGCAUAUUGUCUCGACGAUAUUCUUUUCAAGCCUUUCAAUGUGAUCAACAUUCAACUUGCUGGAGCAUAUAUCUCUGAAGAAAUGACUAAUCUCCGUUAGUGCAUCACAUAUCCCUUUUGGCAACAAAUCACGAAAAGCUAAUGGGAUGAGUGUUUGCAUAAACACAUGGCAGUCAUGACUCUUCAUUCCAUAUAAUCUGCAUUCCUCUGUAUUAACCAGCCUUGAUAUGUUCGAGGCAUGUCCAUCAGGGAAACGCAGACUCUUAAGCCAUUUGUAGACUAGUAGUUGUGCGUUUUUUUCUAGCACGAAGCUUGCUCUUGGUUUUGCGACCUGUGACCCAUCACAAACCAACUCCAUAUUUUUACGGUUACAGAACAGCGCUACAUCCAAUCUAGCCUUGAUGUUGUCCUUUGUCUUCCCCUUCACAUCCAUGACGGUGUUGAAAUUGUUCUCAAACACGUUCUUUUCAAUGUGCAUGAUGUCAAGGUUAUGGCGAAGAAGAUUGGUCUUCCAAUAAGGAAGCUCCCAAAACAUACUUCGCUUCACUCAAUUAUGGGUCAAACCAAAACCAUGAAACUUCUGCUUACCUGAUUGGAGACCAAACACAAUUUCACCGUACUCUGACACAACAUCAAACAAUUCUUCACCGGAAAGAUGCGGGGGUGCAACAUCAUUUUCAACUCUGCCAACAAAGAAAUCAUUUCUGUUCUUUCUGUACCUGUGGUUAUGUGGCAAGAAACGACGGUGAUAGUCAAAAAAAGAAGCUUCACCCCCGUUUGUUAGCGUGAAUGCCUUGUUGUUCUCCAUACAGUAUGGACAUGCUAGUUUUCCAUGCGUGCUCCAACCAAAAACCAUUCCAUAAGCUGGGAAAUCAUUGAUAGUCCACAUCAAAGUCGCUCUCAUAACAAAAUUUUGUUUCCUCGAGAUGUCAUAAGUCAAAGCUCCAGAGGACCACAAUUGUGUCAACUCAUCAAUCAACGGAUGAAGACAAACAUCUAUAUUCCGCCCCGGACUGCUCGGACCUGGUAUGACCAUAGAUAAAAACAUGAACUCUGGCCUCAUACACAUCCCCGGUGGCAAGUUAUAAACCGUCAGUAUGACCGGCCAACAAGAAUAAGGAGCAGCAAAUGACCCGAAUGAGUUGAAUCCGUCUGUACACAACCCAAGACGCACGUUCCUUGAUUCAGCUGAAAAGUGAGGAUGCAUACUGUUAAAGUGUUUCCAGGCUUCACCGUCAGAAGGAUGAACCAUCACUCCAUCAACCGCAUGGUGUGAUUGGUGCCAUGUCAUGUGUUCAGCAGUCCUUGGUGACAUAAAUAACCUCUGCAGUCUAGGUGUGAUUGGGAAGUAUCUAAGUUUUUUAUAUGCCACGAGAGUCUUCCCUCUACCAGUUCUGGGUUUGUAACGGGAAUGCCCGCAUGUCAUGCACUAGGUCAUCUCAGCAUUUUUAAGGUAGUAUAACAUGCAGAAGUUAGGGCAUAUAUCAAUUUUCUGGUAUCCUAAACCGAGGGGUUUCAUCAUGGACUUGGCAGCAUAGAAGUUCUCUUUCAGCCUGUUCCCUUCAGGUAAAAUGCUUCUCGCCCAUUCAAUAAUCUUGUCAUAACCGGCCUCACUCAACCCGUGAUCUGACUUGAUGGUGAACACCUGUGCUACGACUGAUAAUUUACUGUGGUUCGUGCAGCCAUCCCAUAAUGGUUCGUCAGAAUCUCUCAACAGAUCAAAAAACCUUGCUGCAUCUGCAUUAGGUUCUUCUUCUACGAUUGGACAUUCCCUGACAUUACCUUCACUCAUUCUCAUUGCAUCCAUAACCAUAUUCCUGUAAGGAUUACUGUUCUCAUUUCCAACUUCAUGCAUGUUGCUAGCACUAGAAGUUGACCCAACCACCUGUUCUUCCAUGCUCUCAUCAGGAACAAAUAGUUCUCCGUGAGCAUACCAACACAGGUAAUCUUCCAUGAACCCUUUGGUUAGAAGAUGCAUCGUUACAACAUCUUGAUGCAGAAACUUUAAAUUUUUACACUUCCUGCAUGGACACCUAAUACCGCCAUCAGUAAAAUUCCUCGGAAUAGAUGUUGCGAAAUUAAUAAAACCCUGGACACCGUUACAAUAAUCCAUCCUCCGCAAUCCUUGGGGUGAGUCCCGAUACAUCCAUGAACGAUCAUCCAUGACUUCUAUUGAACCUCUAUAAAACAUAACAAAAAUAUUGGUUUUCCCCGACAUUAUCGAUCCAACAAACUAAAACAACACUUAUGUUAAAUAUUCAUUAUCAAUUAUCAACUAUCAACGUUCAUACAUAUAUAAAUUUACAGAAAUCACAACUUUGAAAUAGAAUUGAUAACAAUUAAACAAGACUCGUUAAACAAGUUAUUAAUUAUUUAUUUCAUCACAACGACACAUUUAAUUCGGUGUAAUUCAAACAAAAUUUUAACAAUUUAAUUACAAACAAAUAUAAUUUGACAAAAUCUAAAACAAACUAUAACAACUAUAAAAUUAUACAUUUAUACUACAAGUUUCUUUGAUAAAUAACAAUUAAACAAGUACAAACGUUAACAAAAUACAUAUACUAAAACAAUAAAAUUCACAAUUAAAUAUUAAAACUAAAAAGGAUAGAUUUACUUACAAAAAAAUGAUAAAAUCUACAAGAAACGGAUAUUGUGACCACGUACAAGAUAUAAGAAACUUGAGUGCUCGUGUUGAGAAUAGUAGAGAGUUGGGAUGGGUGUUUAGCAGCAGUUUGGGAGGGGAGGUGCAGUUUGGGAGGGGAGAGGUGGGAUGAGAAAGAAGAAGAAGGAGAAACAGAGGAAGAGAGUGUCGGCAGAUAGGUGGGCAUAUAAUGGUUUUUUCCAAUGGAAUCACCGACGGAUUACUUCCGUCGGUGAAAAUGCCACGUCACUAUACGGCUAUCUCAGUUUGAAUCCCUCGGUAAUUCCAUCGGUAAAAUCGUCUGACGUCACCACGCCGUUGCAUAUUUCCAGACAAACUGACGUCACCACGCCGUUGCAUAUUUCCAGACAAACUGUAUACCCCGUCGGCGAAACAGUCGGUAUAUACCGACAAAUUUUGAAAAAUUUCGUCGGUAAUUCCGUUGGUUUUCUCCGGUUUUCUGGUAGUGCAACGAACAUAUAAUAAACAUGUCUAGAACACAUACAACGAACAUAUAAUAAACAUGUCUAGAACACAUACAAAUGAACCCGCUUAUAGAGUCUCAUAAUUCGCCUAUAUGUUCAACAAUAAAUAGUGGUCUCAUCCUCCAUAAAAAUUUAAAUUAUAAGCAUUUACUCAUAUAAUACCUUUAAUGAUAAGUAUAUUAAAAAUAAAUUAAAAACAUAUUAAAAUUAAAAAUUCUUACAAUGUUAGUGAAUACAUCCUCCGAUUGAUGUCGAUCCUGCAAUCGCAAGACAUAAAUGUUGGCGGGUUUAGUAGGCAUAUACUGUGACUGUUUUCCUAUUAUAGCUUGUUUCAUUGCAUGUGUCACACCUAUAAUAUGCAUGACUUCUCUUGCAUUCAUCUCGUUAUACAAACGAGUAGACAUUCAUUGACCAAACCCGAAUUCUCAUCUAGAUGAGUAUGCUUCAUCACAAGAUCUAGUGUAAUUAGUCCAUUCUAACUCGUCUGAUAAUAAACAGAAUAACAUGCCAUAUAUUGAUCAGUAACUUUGAACCGUGUAAUGAUCAUCAACAAACUAUAUAAAAUCUAUUGGACUCUUGGCACAACAUUAAGAACAUGUGAACAUGAACGUUGGAAUGUCUGUCAUUUACCACAUGUACAUGUUCUUUCAUUCAAGUUUUUUCAUUUUUUAAAAAUCAUUUUUGACAUCAGCACAUCAAAACGAUCCAAAACGUACAAACCAUAUUAAAUUUUAGCCAAAAAAAAAAUUUCAAAUUUUUUGGGAACGCGGCCGCAGCCGCGUUCCCAAACAUGCUCUAAGAACAUGUGAACAUGAACGUUGGAAUGUCUGUCAUUUACCACAUGUACAUGUUCUUUCAUUCAAACUGACUGCCCAUUUGACUUCUUUAAUAACACCCAUUUUAAUAGGGGUGUUGACUUGGAACAUCCAUUGCUCCGAGUCAAACAACAUUGCAGUAUAAUCUCUUAAUCUAUCACUACUCAUUGUCGAUUCAAUCUCAAUUGUUAGGGGCCAAAUUUUACCAUGUUGAAUAAAAUCAUUAUUUUCACGUCUCCGCUUGACCUAAUAACUAUUACACCCGUAAAAUGUUAAUUGCACCAGAGCUGAAACAUGCAUUGUACGAGCACCCUUCAAAACUUGAUUGAAUAAUUUAAAAGAUUAGUUGUCAUAUUACCAUACCAAUGACCGUCAUCGUAACAUAAAAGCCUUUUUUUUUUUAUCUUGGUUCAAAUUAGCAACUGUUAUAGGAUUUGAUUCUUUUAUUACCAACAACAAUCUAGGUAAUUUUCCUUAAAGACUCCUCAUAUGAACCAAUAAGAUUCUCAAUCACCUUUUGUUUUGCAACCCAUGUUUUUUCAUAUGAAAUAUUAUACUUGUAAUGCAACUUUAUUUCAUUAUGUAUGCUUGCAACCAUUAUUGAAAGCUUAUUCAUUACUAUUUGCAUCAGAUUAAUAACGGUCUUUUUUAACAAAGGUUGAAACACAUAUGUGUGACAUUUUUAACUUUGUUAUUUCAAAUGAAUAUGAUAUCUUAUUAUAUCCCCUAUGUAAAUACCUUUUACAUUCAAGUGCUUGCACACAUUGCAAUUGAUAAAUGUAGAGUUCAACCGUUGGAUUCAGUAUUCAACCGAAUGUACAAUGUUAUUGUUUAACUUCAUUAACCAAUUCAUUUUUAUUACUAAAUUCAAAACAAUACCUAGUUUCUAAAAUGCACAAAGUUAGUUAGAUAUUGUGGCUGAGCCUACAGUGCAGCUAGGGUUUGUUUUAAUGUAGCAUGAUAUGGCAUCUAAUCUCCAAAUAUCUAUCAUGAGUUCAAAAGUUGUGGGUUAUAAUCUUCUUCAGGAAGGGCCAGAAACUAGGAAUAAUCUGUAUAGGUGAUGUGAAUCGAUUCAUGCUCUCCACUUUCUAGGCAUUUAUUCUCUUUUAAAGCAUGUGGAUAACUUGAUAUCUGACAAGAGGUAAGGAAUUAGAUGCAACUUUACCAUCUUCAGAGGAUAAAUUCGCAAGACAUGGGUCUAUAAAUUUGCAGAUUCUCUCAACUAAUUGUUGUAAACUGAGCAAAUCAGCAAAAAAUGUCUCAAGGCUCUGCCUACCAAACUAGGCAGCGGCAAGGCUCGAACACCACGUCCGGUGAUUACCAUGACUAUAUUUCGACGUUAUCAAAGAUGCCUAGCGUUAUCCAUGGUGCCCCCCAGUACCCAAGUGUUCACAAGGCCUUCAACAACAAGGUAUCUCAAGAAGAAGAGGUUAACGGUGAAGCUGAUGGCUCCAUCCAGCAGAAGCAAAAGGGCUUUGAACUGUGCAAAUGGAAGACCUUCAAAUUUCCAUAGGCUAGGGAGCAUGUCGGUUGUGCUUAGAUUACUGGGAAACUACAUUCCAGCUGUAGUGUGAACCAACACCAGAUAUUUAAAUAAAAUGCCCGUCUUUCUUGUGUUGGCAGAACUUCUUUCAGGGUUGUUUGGAUAUAGCAUGUCAAGAAAAUUUUAGUAUUUUAUCUUUUAAUAAGACAAUAUAGUGUGAUAUACUAUAGCUUUUCAUUGUUGGUAUUCUGUCACGAAAGAUUUUGCCUUGCUGCUUAUUUGUGAAUCCAGGGUUUCAUACAGUACUGCAAUGUUAGUACAGCGAUUAAGCAUGCAACAAAAUAAAUUGUCGAUUUGAUGAGUGUUACAGAAGCUAAACUCCGGAGCGAAUUGCAAAUGAUUACAUCAAAUUCUGAAUCGCACAGUCUAGAUUGGACAAUCUAUUGUUGAUGCUUGAGAUUUGCUGACUGCAUACAUGGUAUAAUUAAGUUGCCAGAAUCAACUAUAUGUUAGAUAAUUAUAACAUCUUUAACCCUUUGGUAAAUGUUUUAUAUGUUCUCUUCCCUUCUUUCUUUUGCUGUAUCUAGGCUUAUGCUGAUGCAGAUAGUUUAAAGAUAUGUGAAAUGAAAAAAAAUAAAAAUCUGACAUGUAUCAGUGAGAAGGAAAUAAUUAUGCAAUACAUGUAGAAAUGCUUGGUAGCUUUUUUAACAAGGAAUUGAUGGAAACUGUUCCUGUUGCUGCUACAAACCGAUUUUCCAUUACAAUGAAUGACUUUUCAUUGUCGCCCUUUCCAAUUACUUUUCAAACAUUUCAAAUAAGUUGCCAUUCCAUGAAGCUAAUUCGUUGCUUUUUGUUGUGACUGCCUGACUGCUGUUAUGUCAUCAUGUUCGGCUGGCAGAUUUCAUAAAUGAAUCAUUAACUUUAGAGGUUAUGCUGGAAACAGAUGGUGAGUGAUAUUGGUCUUUAAAACUGGCAUUGAAUAUGGCAUAUACUAAUUGAUAAUGGCAUCGUUGGAGCUGAUAUACAGAGGUAUUAUUCCUCGUAUAUCUGAACUGCGAAGAAACUCUUGUGGGAAUACGUUCAUAAAUCAAUGGUGACGGCUCUGGGAUUUACCCCUAAUUACCAUGCCACUGACACAAAUCACGAUGAAAGAUCCAUGUAUCAGUUCAAAAAUCCAAUGGCCCAUGCGUGAAGCAUACAGGGGAUUAAUCUACUUAACCUCUGUACUUUUCGUAUUAAACAUAAAUAAAAUACUCUACUAUCCUCCUGUCAUAACUGGGCUAUUAGAAUUACACGAGGGAUGCCUCUACUUGAAGGAUAGCACACAUGACAUUAUCCUUUCCACUUAACAAUAAAUUAAGGCUUCUUAAUUAUUCCAAAUGAUGGUUUUAAGACAAGUGUCAUAUGUGGGAAUAUUAACGAACAGAUGGACGAUGGCUUACCCUGUUUCUUCGGCACAAUUAAUCUGGUUGCUGGACAGCUGCAAGCAACUUCUAGUGACGUGUGGUGAACAGCUGAGAUUCUUUGCAGGGAAUCUACCAGGACCAGACCGCAAUAAUUGAGUUAAGAAUAGCAUACCAUUUUCAAUAUCAGGCACGAAUAUACUGUUCAAUUUGACAGAAUCCUGGAUUUGGUUACAAGAUUCCUCAUGUGAUGUUGUCAAAUCAAGGAUCAAAAUCGACUGCUAUCGUGCAACUUUAUCAUUUUCUGAUAAUAAAAUUCUUCUGGAGAUUUUUUUUUCUAAAAAAAAAAACUAGUAAUUCUAUUAUACAAAUUAAUUGCUGUAAUAGAUAGCUCUGACACAGAGAACAACUACUUUGUCUGCCUGUGUGGUGUUUUCAUGACAACGCAGGUACUUGUAGCAUGAGAUUUCUAUGAAAAUACUUCUCACUGAAAGCACAAGAUAAGAAUUUGCUUGGUUUUCCUACAAGGCAAGUGGGAAAACAACCAGCAAAACAAAUCUUAAUUUUUCAUGUCAGGUUUUUUUUAAUGAAGACUGCACCUACUAACAUCCUCGAUGGAAAACCUGAAGAUAGAACUAAUUAACAUAAGCAAGCUAAGAGCAAGCUAUAGGACCAAUAAAGAUUUUACAUCAAUAUUGAUUGUUAUCUUCACGAGGAUCUUCAGCCUCUUUGAAUCUCCUCGAAGAUAUUAGAUUAAACAAAUUUGUAAGACUCUUCUUAGCUCUUUUCUUCCUAUGGACCCUUCUCUGAGCAUCUACCCCACUAAAUGAAUCAUCUAAAACAAGACCUCUCUCCAACCUUUUGUACACAUUCACAAUCUCAUAGGAAUCCCACAGUGAUUGCUUAAAAUCCCAAUUUCCUCUCUCAACCCUCUUGGCUGAUGACUUGUUCAUUGCUUCCAGCUUAAACCGAGAAGGCUUGCUUUGAAAAUUUUGUCGAUAUUUAUCAUAUUCACAGCUGGUAGACCUUGAACUGCCCGAGUGAGCAUGCCACGAUUGUGCCACACCCUUGAAGAUUUCAAGUUCAUGCUUAUCAUCAUCUUCAUGCUCUGACCUGUUCUUCAUGCUUAAUGGUAACUUAUGCAACAAAGUUCACUCUUGGCCAUGUUAUCUUGCCUAAUCUAGAGCCUCACAAUAUUGCUGCUAAAAUGAGAGAUAAGCUUUUGGUGUCCCUAUUCUCUCUGCUAUUGAUAACUGGAAAAUUUGUUAGUUUCUACAAUUGCAAUUUAUUUGUGGAUUAGAAGUCUUUCUUUUGACAGUUGGUUAGUUGUUUGUGUCCCACUGUCCAUUAAUCAAUACUCAUAUAUUCAUUGUCCUUUUUUUAAAAUUAAAAUCAAUUAGAAUUUUCAUUUAAAAUGUGUACCCACAACAUAUUUUUUAAUUAAUCCAAUAAAUAAAUAAUAAUUCAAAAAUUCAAAAGUUUAAAUUAAAAAAACAUAAUUCAAAUAUUUAAAAUCCAAACUAAACUUCCAGUUUCAAAUAUCCAAAUGAAAAUAACCACAAUUCAUAAUCGUUUCUUUAUUUGUGAAUAGUAUUGUUAUUAGUAUUAUUUUAUUUUAUUUUAUUUUGUCAUUGUCUCAUUUAGGUUUGGUCAAGUCAUCUAUAUUACUAAAAACUUGAUCAAGUUGAACUGGUUAUGUCAAGUUAAAGCCUUAGUUGGUUCAACUAGUAAUCUAGCUCGAGAAAGGCUCCGAUUCCAAGAUUUCUCGGGUCAAUCUGAAAGAUCAAGCCAAGUUCUACAAUUAUAAUUGUUAUCUUAAAAUCAAACCCUCGUCUAUGUUAAGAUUUUACCAUUUUAAUACAUAUUUCUUAUUUAAAAAAAAAAAACGCAUAUAUACAGAACAUAUGUGAGUCUAUAUAAACCCAUUAUGAGAGUUGAUAACAUCAUUUAAUUUUCUUUUAACAUAGAUAAUGUUUUGAUAAGUUUUUUGCAAUUUAUAAUGCUCAUUGCCUUUGAGUAAAAUCCAAAGGCAGUGGUCUUGGGUUGGAUCACAUGUUUUGAUAUAUCUCACUUGAUUAAAAGUUGAAACAUUUAGUCCAAGUCUAUUACAUAAAAACAUUUUACAUAUCUCUUAAUUUAGUAAAUAAUGAUUCGGAAUCAAAUUCAAACAGAAAUGUAAAUAUAGUUGUGAAUUUAAUAUAAAAAUAACAAAACUGAUAUUUGCUGGAAAAAAAACAGAUUGUUUUUUUAUAUAUAUAUAGACUUUCCAUGACCAUGGAAUUUUUUGAUCAAGUUUCCUACAUUACCAGUAAAUUUAUUUACAGCUGCUUUUCUAUUAUAGUUUUUAUAAGAAUAUCUAUUUCUUAGAAUUUUUUUUUUUAUAAGUUUGAAGACUUACAAUCAUAACAUAUUAAAAUUAAGUCUUGUUAAACUACUGACAAUUAAGUCUUGUUAUUCCAAAUGAUGGUUUUAAGACAAGUGUCAUAUGUGGGAAUAUUAAUAUUAAUAAACAGAUGGACGAUGGCUUACCCUGUUUCUUUGGCACAAUUAAUCUGGUUCUGACAAUCCAAAAGAAAAGGGUGUCAAUUCAAAUAAUAGUUUGCAUAACACAAUCUUAUUAUAAACAUCAGGAGAUUUAAUUGCAUGUUCAUCAAUAGGCAGCCCAAGCAAAACCAUUACGUCCUGUAAUGUUUGUCAUCUCUUCAUGCCUAAUAUGAAAGGUAUGUCUCAUGUCUUCAUCGUUUAAUUAAUGCAUGGAUACAUAGAUCAAGCCAUGAUCAAGCUUAAUAUGGUCUAUACAAAUAACAAACAAAAAACAUGUGUCUGUACAAGCAUGCCAAGACAGUUUGUCACGACCCGAUUCCCGAAUCCAUGACCGGCACAUAAGCAAGGUUCCUCUCCAAGGUUCCAUACCUAUGCGAAUCCAAACUUACAUACAAACUUAUCAUAACUCAAUCAGAGUCCAACGCAGCAUUAGUAACAAAAUUAACUUCAUAAUAUAAUUCGAUUGUCUUAAUACAAGAGUUAAAACAAAUUUCAUAGUUAUGGAGCACUGACUGAACAUAAAAGGAAAAUACUAAUUUCAACCAAAAAGCAGGUUCGGAAGGUUCAACAAAAAUGACCUACUAACAAGUUAUAAGCCUGAAAAGAUAAAUAAUGAGAGGGUGAGUUCAACAACUCAGUGAGUAGAUAACGUUCAAUGUACACACACGAGGUAAUACAACAAUGAGAAUAUAUAUACAAUUAUGGCUCUAGGUUCUUAUAGGAAGGUUUCUCAAAUAGGUCAUAACAAGAAUAUCAUAAGGUAAAGCUCGUCAAAAAAUCAAAAUGCAAUGAGCAUGAGGCUCCGUACUGUGGGAUGAUCAGUCCACACAGGUUGGUGACUCCCCCGACCAACUAGGGUUCAGAUACGAUGUGCACAAAGACUAACACUACCCUGUUAGCAUGGGUAUUCUGACUGACAUACCAUAGCUUCAUAAUCAUAAUCAAACAGACAUAUUCAUAUCUCAAUGCUCAACUCAUGACAUCAAUCAAAUGAGGAGCUAUCAAUUCAGAAGUCAAUUCAAAAUAUAUACUGGUUCAUAUCAAGAAUUCAGAUUCAACAAUUGAUCAUGCUUUAUCAUAGCAAUGAUAAUAAUCAACAUAUAUAUUAUUAAGAAGCAUGAUCCAAUUCAUAUUAACAAAUCAAAUAUUUAUAAUAUUUCUCAUGCAUAUAAAAAAUUAUCCACUCACCUGACUCGAAAGCAAACGACACUCAAAAGCAGAUACUGAAGGAAAUUCUACUGAUGUCCCGCCGGUAGAAUAUCAGGAUUAUCUGAAUACAAAGGAGACAUAUUCAAGAAUGAAUCAAAAGAACAUAUAACCUAUUUAAUACACUUAUCUAAGGGUAUAUUCCAUAACCCUAUAUGUUUUUAAACUAAACUAGUUAUUUCUCAAAAACCCAAAAUUAAACGGUUUUCCCAAAAUCUAAUCCAUAAUAAAACAAAUAAUAAAAUUAGUAAUAAUUCACUAAAACCUUAAUUUAUUCAUCAAACCAAUCUGAAAAAGCUAAUAUUACAGCAAGGGACUAAUCUGGAAUUUAUCAUAUUUUUAAGGGUCAAAUUGUAACUUUUGUCAAAUUGAAGGACCAAACUAAAAAUAUCAUAAAUCCAUGACUAUACUGAAAUUCUGACCAUAAUUAAUCCUCAAUUCUGUCCAGAAUAUCUCAUUAUGUUCCAGGGACCAUUCUGGAAUUUUACCAAAUUUUUAGGGUCUAAUGGUAAUUUUUGUCAAAUUGGAGGAACAAAUUGAAAGUGUUAAAAUUUCAAUACUAUACAGGAAUUCUGCCCAUAAUUCAUCUUUUAUUCUGUUCAGAAUCUCGGAAUAUCUUCUAGGGACCAAUCUGUAAUUUUCUAAAGUUUGGGGACUAAACUGUAAUUUUUAUAAAUUGAGGGACCAAACCGAAAUUUUGUUAUCUUCAACCUCUAACCCAAAAUUUCAACAGAAAACCUACUGUUCUUUCCAGAUUUCUAACUCAAAAUUCACCAUUUAUACAAAUCAUAACUCAAAAUUGUCAUCUUUAUCUACAAUCUUCCAUAAUCAAUUAAAUAAUCAAUUACCUAUAAUAAUCAACCCAGAACAUUCAAAUUAAUUCAUCAAUCAAACCCAAAACACAAUCUUCAAAACCCUAACAUUCAUCAAAACCGAAAUUUAAAGUUCAAAGAACACAUUUAUACAUUUAUAAACCUAAAUCUUACCUUUAAACUUAUUUUCUUCAACUCCUUUCUAUUUCCCGUCUAAUUUCCCUCUUUUCUCUUCUUCUUCUUCUUCUUCUUCUUUCUCCCUUCUCUCCUGCCGUCCCUCACACUAAAAUUUCAGAUCCCUCUUUCUUUCUUUUUUUUUACUUCCUAUUUAUAUUUAUCAUCUCUUUAUUCAAUUACUACAAUACCCCUCAUUUAAUUAUACUUACUCUUUAAGCCUUCAAGGGCUUUGUAGCCUUUUCCUAUCUCUUUUAAUUCAAAAUAUAAAACGGUAGAUCCCCAACUAUAUGUGGGGCUGGCGUCAAAAUUAUCCAGGAGCAUCAGUUAAAUUAAGGCACAUAUCUACCUGUUAGGUCUAUAAGUAAUACACCGCCAAACAUAUGGAGUAUAUAUGCUCUGACAUACAAACAUAACAUAUUAAAAUUAUCACAAUCAUAAUCAUUCAUGCAAACUUAACAAAUAAUCAACACAUUCAAAUCAUAAUUUAUUUUAUACCUCCACAAAACCUCCUCGUUAGCAUCAUCUAGUGGUGUCGUUAAUGUCUCACAAUCUACUUAAGACAUAUGCUACCCCCCUUCAAUUCAAAAUAAAGGGGUGACAAUCCAAAUGAUCGCUCACAUAAUACAAUUUUAUUAUGAACAUCAGAAGAUGUGAUUGCACGUCCAUCAAUAGGCAGCCAAAGCAAAAUCAUCAUGUCUUGUAAUGUUGGUGUCAUCUCUUCAUGCCUAAGAUAUAAUGUUUGUGUCUCAUGUCUUCAUAGCUCAACUGGUGCAUGGAUCAAGCCAUGGUCAAGCUUGAUGUGGUUUAGACAACUAACGUAUAAUAAACAUGUCUAGAACACAUACAACUAAACCUGCUCAUAUAGUCUCAUUCACCUAUGUGUUCAACAAUAAAUAGUGGUCUCAUCCUCCAUAAAAAUUUAAAUUAUAAGCAUUUACUCAUAUAAUACCUUUAAUGAUAAGUAUAUUAAAAAUAAAUUAAAACCAUAUUAAAAUUAAAAAUUCUUACAAUGUCAGCGAAUACAUCCUCCGAUUGAUGUCGAUCCUGCAAUCGCAAGACAUAAAUGUUGGCGGGUUUAGUAGGCAUGUAUUGUGAUUGUUUUCCUAUUAUAGCUUGUUUCAUUACAUGUGCCACACCUAUAAUAUGCAUGACCUUCUCUUGCAUCCAUCUCGUUGUGCAAACGAGUAGACAUUCAUUGACCAAACCCGAAUUCCCAUCUAGAUGAGGCUGCUUCAACACAAGAUCUAGUGUAAUUAGUCCAUUCUAACUCGUCUGAUAAUAAACAGAAUAACAUGUCAUAUAUUGAUCAGUAACUUUGAACCGUGUAAUGAUUAUCAACAAACUAUAUAAAAUCUAUGUGACUCUUGGCACAACAUUUAAUAACAUGUGAACAUGAACGUUGAAAUGCCUGCCCUUUACCACAUGUGCAUGUUCUAUCAUUCAAAGUGACUGCCCGUCUGACUUCUUUAAUAACACCCAGUUUAAUAAGGGUGUUGACUUGGAACACCUUUUGCUCCGAGUCAAACAACAUUGCAGUAUAAUCUCUUAAUCUAUCACUACUCAUUGUCGAUUCAAUCUCAAUUGUUGGGGGCCAAAUUUUACCAUGUUGAAUAAAAUCAUUAGCUUUACGUCUCCACUUGACCCAAUAACUAUUAUACCGGUAAAAUGUUAACUGCACCAGAGCUGAAACAAGUAUUGAACGAGCACCUUUCAAAACAUGAUUAAAUGAUUUGAAAGAUUAGUUGUCAUGUUACCAUACCGGUGACUACCAUCAUAAUAUAAAGCCCAUUUUUGUUUUAGUUCUAAUUAACAACUGUUUCAGGAUUUGAUUCUUUUAUUACCAACAACAACCUAGGCAAUUUUUGAAAAGACUCUUCAUGUGAACCAAUAAGAUUCUUAAUCACCUUCUGUUUUGGAACCCAUGCUUUUUCAUAUGAAAUAUUAUACUUGUAAUGCAAUUUUAUUUCAUCUUGUAUGCUUGCAGCCAUAAUUGAAAGCUUAUUCAUUACUAGGGUUAAUUUACAUUCAAGUGCUUGCACACAUUGUAAUUGAACAAAUGUAGAGUUCAACCGUUCAACUCGGUAUUUAACCAAAUGUGCAAUGUUAUCGUUAACUACAUUAACCAAUUUAUUUUUACUACUGAAUGUUUGUCUAACCUCUAAAUCAGACCCUCCUGAAAUGCAUUUAUGACUAAGUGCCCAGUCAUUAAAAACAAUAAAACUAAACCCAGAAGCAUCUCUAAAUUCAGGAACAGGAGGUAUGAUUUCAUCAUCAACAUCAUCAUUAUUUACCAUCUCAUUCGAGUUUAACAUAUCAUUAUCUUCAUUGUCACUAGGCUUAGAAUAGUCAAAUCUAUAUUAAUCAGCAAAUGGAUUGUCAAACAUAGUAUCAUCUAUCCUUUAUAACAAAUUGUCCGACAACAACACUGUAUUUACCUCUACUAACUAAAUUUGAAGGAUCAACUUAAGUUGGGACACAUAGAUUUUAGUCGACUACUUAUAUACAAUAUCAUCAUGUUCAAACCACUUUGCAUGAAAGAAUCAAUCGUUAUCUUACAACUGUCAUCACAUAUAACCGCUACAUGAUAAUACUGAUGUUCGCCAAUCUGACACCUCCAAGCUAUUUAAACAUCAAUAUCAUUAUCUCAAGUCCAUGAUAAAUGGUUUCUUUCAUUUAUGCAUAUGACAUGCCUAAAUAAACAUUUAAUAACAAACUACUCCAACCAUUGUAUGUGAUAUUGUUCACAUCAUGAACAAUAGUACCACUGUAAAGACAUAAUAUAAAUAUGUUAUAAACCAUUUUGUAAAAAAAAAAAUGAAUUCUGGUCAAUUAUUCAUAAUUGUAACUAAAUUGCAUUACCCCAAAACCAAUCGGCAAAAUUCAUAUCAAAUUCCCAAAAUUUAACAUUAAAGAAAAUUCACCAAAAAUUAAACAUAAUUCUUGAUAUAAAAUCUAAUUGAUAUUUUCAUGCUCAAUCACAUUAAAUCAAACCCAAAUUCAUAUCAAAUUAAUAUAAUUCAAAGAAAAUACCAAACUUAUCAACUUAUCAACAAUUCAAUGGAACAUGUAAUUUGUCAUAAUUCUACCGCAUUUAGGCUCUCUUACAUGAAAUCAUCAAGCGCAUUUAAUUACAUUAUUAGCUUAUUCUAGCAAUAUACAUAAAAUCCAUAAUUCAACAACUUAACAACAAUCGAAUGCAACACAUAAUUAAUUGAAAUAAUUAAUUCAUAAUUAAUUUAACUUAUUUUCAUGUUCAACUAUAUCAAAUCAACCCUAAUUGAUGAUAUUUUUAACUAAUUUAAUAUUAAUUCAACAAACUCUAAAUUCACCAUAAAUCCUAAAUUCAACCUAAACAAUUAUUUCAUUUCAACCAAACCAAACUCAAAUUCAUAGAAAUAUGAUAUGUUUACCUUGUUUGAAGGACUAGAAAAAAGGUUGGGAAGGUGGCGGCAGCAAUGACAACAAAGGGAAUAGUCGAUUUUGAAUCCCAAACAUGUCCAAUGAAGUUUAAAGACUAUGAUAGGUUUGGUUUUUGUUGUUUUAAGCGCAAAAUAAAAGUAUUUGAUGGGGUUUUAAUUUUUAGAAAGAUUGUGAGGGCGCCAUUUGGUUUUUAGAGAGAGAAGGCGUCUUUGAUUUGAGGGAUAACUUAAAUUGUAAUUGAUGUUACGCUUUAGAAAUACGACAAUUACCUUGUCGCGCUUUUUAAUAGUACAAUUUACUAAAUAUCGAGUUUCUAAAACAUGACAAGAUAAAAAUAUAUUAUUUCACUAAAUCUUUUUCAAACAGUAAUACCCUACCAAAACUUUAAGUUCAGUGUUCUAAUUGUGUUUUUUUUUAAAAAAAAAAACGUUUCUCGUUGUACAUGUGUCCUUUUGGAUGAAAUAUUUGUUUCUCAUCAUGAUUUUUCUCCAACGUUGUGUUUUCUAUGAAAAUCAAUAGUUUUAUCCUAGGUACUCUGUACUCAAAAGGUUUUUGAUAUCUUCUAGGCAAGUAUUUUUGCAACUUUUGGUGAAUUUAUCUUUUUUUUUCUUACAUCUUUGAAAAAAUUAACAUAUUCUUCUUUUUCUAUUUUACUAGCAAUAUUGUCGUUUAUUUGUUUGUUGUGCUAUGAGGGAGAAAACACAGCCCAGAAUGCAUAUUGAACUUGCUGCCACAGCAUAAGCUUCUACAGUCUUUCAUUAAUUUAAAAUAUAUUUAGGUUUAAGGCCUCCUCUUCUGAUGAAAAUAUACAGCUGGGAAGAAACAAAGGAGAACGGGAGAAAGAUUUCCUAGUCAGGAUGUUGAGAAAAGAAGGAAAAAAGGCCUUGUUUUCUGUGUUAGAUGUGAUUUAAGGAUAAAAAAGAGAGAGAGAGACAAGGAUAUGGUGGUUAUUUUAUUAUAAAUUGGAUGUAGUAUUCAUGUAGGAAGAUGGGGAUGACGAUCCCCGGUUCUAUCGAAAAUGGAAAGGUCAUAAUCCACCAAUGGUUCUGAGGAGGUGGGCAUGGACUAGUCUUAGGCUUCGGUUUGCUUUGCACUGUCGUAAGUUUAUGGUGAUGGGUCUCUGGAAAUUAAUGGCUGAUUAGGUCAUAAUCCACCAAUGGUUCUUCUAGAGGUGUGUUUGUUUGGUGGUUCUGAAUUUGUGGUCUAGCAGAAGAGAUAAGAACAAAUCCCUAUACUGCUCUCCGAAUCUUAAUAACAAAUUCAAAACAAUACCGGAGUUUCUAAACAUGCACAAAGGUAGUUUAGUAUUGUGGCUGAGCCUACAGUGCAGCUACGGCUUGUUUUAAUGUAGCAUGAUAUAAAUGGCAUCUAAUCUCCAAAUAUCUAUCAUGAAUUCAAAAGUUGUGGGUUAUAAUCUUCUUUCAGGAAGGGCCAGAAACUUGGAAUAAUACUGCAUAGGUGAUGUGAAUCGAUUCAGGCUCUCCACUUUCUAGGCAUUUAUUCUCUUUCAAAGAAUGUGGAUAACAUGAUAUCUGACAAGAGAUAAGGAAUUAGAUGCAACUUUACCAUCUUGAGAGGAUAAAUUCGAAAGACAUGGGUCUACAAAUUUGCAGAUUCUCUUAACUAAUUGUUGUAAACUGAGCAAAUCAGCAAAAAAUGUCUCGAGGCUCUGCCUACCAAACUUGGCAGCGGCAAGGCUCGAACACCACGUCCGGUGAUUACCAUGACUAUAUUUCGACGUUAUCAAAGACGCCUAGCAUUAUCCAUGGUGCCCCCCAGUACCCAAGUGUUCACAAGGCCUUCAACAACAAGGUAACUCAAGAUGAAGAGGUUAAUGAGGUUCGCCAAGACAAUGUCAACAAGAAGAAUCCACCAGGUCUGCCAGGAAGGUUCGGGUGAAGGAGCAAGUGCAAGUUAUCGAUCAAAAUGGGAAUCGGAAAUCACAAGAUAUCGAAGAAGUGGUGGAGCUGAUGUUUUCAUCAAGCAGAAGCAAAAGGGCUUUGAACUGAGCAAAUUGAAGACCUGCAAAUAUAAUUUUAAAUUAGGCUAGGGAGCAUGUCGGUUGUGCUUAGAUUACUGGGAAACUACAUUCCAGCUGCAGUGUGAACCAACACAGAUAUUUAAAUAAAAUGCCCGUCUUUCUUGUGUUGGCAGAACUUUCUUUCAGGGUUGUUUGGAUAUAGCAUGUCAAGAAAAUUUUAGUAUUUUAUCUUUUAAUAAGACAAUAUAGUGUGAUAUACUAUAGCUUUUCAUUGAUGGUAUUCUGUCACGAAAGAUUUUGCCUUGCUGCUUAUUUAUGAAUCCAGGGUUUCAUACAGUGCAAUCUUAUUACAGCGAUUAAGCAUUCAACAAAAUAAAUUAUCGAUUUGAUGAGUGUUACAGAAGCUAAACUUCGGAGCGAAAUGCAAAUGAUGCUUUGCCAGAUUAUAAUUACUACAUCAAAUUCUGAAUCGCACAGUCUAGAUUGGACAAUCUAUUGUUGAUGCUUGAGAUUUGCUGACUGCAUACAUGAUAUAUGUUGCCAGAAUCAACUAUAUAUUAGAUAAUAUAACAUCUUUAACCCUUUGGUUAAUGUUUUAUAUGUUCUCUUGCCUUCUUUCUUUUGCUGUAUCUAGGCUUAUAUA